GCAAACUUUAAUAAAAAAUAUUAAUUGUGAUGUGCAUGCUGCUAUUGUGAAUGCAAACUAUUAUUUAGAUCACAUUAAAUUUAUGAGAUUUUAGAAUGAGGUGAAAGUCAAGUUAGAAAAGUGCUGAAAGUCAGUGUGUC